rnacentral:lncRNA from 1 species
UCUAUCUUCUUGAAUUCUAUUGUUGCAAUGUUGUGAUGAAUCUGGAAGGGCAAAUUUAUAACUUAUUUCUCAAUUCCUGGUUGAUUCAUGGACUUCCAGUCCAAUUUCCCCUCAACUUUUAACUUAUGCACUGCUUACAGAUAUUGUCCGUCUAUAAUGCUGGUGCCGAAAUUGUCAAGGUGAGAAUUGACUUAUUUUCAUUAUAGAACAUACAAAUUGCUUAAUACAGUGAAAUAGAUUUUGUCUAUCCUAUGAUCUGUGCACGUAGUUGAAUUCGUGAAUGAAUUUACCCUUUCAUAAUCUUAAUGUUAUCAAAUUAUCAUGUUCUACUGUUUAAUCAGUUCUCUCAUGGGUAGACAAUCAUGAUUUACCAUUAUUUGCCUUAAAAUUUUCUUACUAAUAGACGAAUUUGAUUAUACAAGGAAGAAAAACAUCAAAAUGGAGACUACGCGUCCACCAAACAAACAGAAGAGAAUUACACAUCCUAGUGUAGGACAAUCCCCCAAUCCCUAUCAAGGUUGCUUUGCCUUAGUAAUUAUGUUGCAUAUUCUUUCUACUUUAUAAAUUUGAUGCUUACAAGAAGAUAAGAAUCUUCUCAUGUGAAAGAUCAUAACAUAAAGAUUUGCAUGAUAGAUGUAUUGAUGUAGGGUAGAUGCUGUUUUUUAAUUUGAUUCAAGUGUAAUAUGUUAGGAUCCAAGGUAGGUCCUAACAAAUUUGCGGACGGGUAGAGAAGAAAUAGAUUUUAGAAACAAAGUUGGAGGAGGGCGAAGGAAUGGGCAAAAUGGGAGAAACUGAGGCGAGGAAGGGGAUAGGGAGCAGAAAAUAUCUCUUAUAUCAAUUUGUCAUUCAAAUCUAUGUGGCACACGAUACAUAUACAGGACACAGAUACGACACAAUAAAUGACACGAUACACAACAUUCUCCGAGAAAAAAGGAUAUAAUGCGUUGGGAGAUAUGUUGAAUUUUAUAUUUUCUUAAAUAGAUAUACAUGUAUUUCUAUAAUAAAUAAAUUUAAUUACCAAUAGAGUAGAAUAAAUAUCAAGAAAAAUAGUGAAAAACCCUAGCAUAUUAUAAUGAACAUAUCUAAUAAGUAACUUGUGUAUUUAUAACUUGGCCAAAUAAAAAAGUAAAACAAAUUAUAAAAAAACAAGUGUUAGGAUGUAUCCCGGCGUGUCCCGAUGUGUCGCCGCGUGUAUACGACAUGUCCGAAGUAAAAAUAAAAUAAAAUUAAACAAAUAAAAAGAUAGUGUCGAGAUGCAUCCCUGCGUGUCCAAGGCGUUGCGUGUCUGGAAUGCCCCCACAGCGACUUGUUGACCUUCGAAAAGUGUCUGUGCUUUAUAUUUCAAAUCAAGCUUAAAAUGAAACUACAACCACUACUCCUAUAUACUGCUAGAUUGAACCUAAUGAAAUGGGCUACUAUACAACAUUAGCUAUUUUAAGGACAAAGCAAACUUGGAUACUAAGAAAAAAAGGGUACUAUCCACUCUUCUUAAAUAACGAACGAGUCCCCAGCCUCAAUUUAAUUUCUAAAUGGCCCUUUGCCUUAUAUUUGUUUUCCCUUUUGAACAUCAUGAAGGAAAAAUAGUUAGCCAAACUAGGUUUUAAAAUUUUAUCCCAAGAUCGUCGUUGUGGUUUUAUCAUGAACGAGUCAAUAUAUGAUAUAUUAUAUAUAUAUAUAUAUAUAUAUAUAUAUAUUGUAAAUGUAGUUCAUAUAACAUUGUGCUCACACAAUGACACAAACAUAAUUGAUUUCUUGCUAUCCUUGAGACCUUCUCUCUUAUUACCUUUUCUGCGAACCUUGGUGCGUGGCCUCCGUAAUUCCUUUUUCACCAAACCCUAGCUAUGAAUUUGCUAAGUUCGAAAGGAAGAAAGGAAGCAAUUAAGUUAUUUCGAAUUUUGUUUCUGAUGGUGUGAUCAAUUCUAUCGCAAAAAACAAAAAUCCUAUUGAUAUAUGUGUGUGUGUGUAUAUGUGUGUGUAUAUAUAUAUAUUUCAGUAAAUUAUAUCCUCUAUGUAUCUGGUCCAAUUUAGGUUAGAAGAGGGAUCUUAAGGGUCUCCUAUUCAAGCUCCAACAGAACUCUAGGUAAAAAUGUUAUCUCAUAACUCUCAUCGAAAAUUCUACUAUUACAAUUAAUACCACUAAAUAAUUGUAAUGGGACUCCAGUUCAGGAAAUACACAAUUAAGCUCUUACCUUACUAAUUAGCUACGAAGUUCCCUCUAUUUGGAUAUAUAUAUAUAUAUAUAUAUAUAUACAUAUAAUCAUGUUUAAUUACUGUAUUUUGGAAAUGUUUAUAAUUUACUACAUAAGUACAUAAUUCAUUCAUGCUGAUCUAUAAUUAAUUUGACAAUUAAAUCUAUUCUUUUAGUAAUAAUAUUACUAAGGGGGUGUAUUCAAUUAAGAUUUUUAAAGACUUUUUAAGUGACAAACUUUUGUAGAAUUUGUGAAUUUUAAUGACUUUUAAAGACUUUAAAGACUUUUUUAAAAUGACUUUUAUAGACUCCAUGAAAUAAGUAACAGAUUUUUAUAAACUUUUUAUCAAGAUUGUCAUAGACUUUUGUAUACUUCUAAUAUAUAAAAUUGAAAGAUUAUUAGAUUUAAGAUUAAAAUUUUGCUACACAGAUAAAUUAUUUAUUUUAUUUUUUAGUGCAUAUAUUAUAAAUAAUAAUCCACUGCUUAUGAUAGCAACUUUCAGAAAACAUAUUAUACAAAAAAUUUAAGUUCUGACAAUAUUAUUUUAUCUAAGCAUUAGAAUACAUAUAUAUUAUAAUAUAUUUAUUACAUGGCUUCUGAUCAUUCAAUUAUUGGCUCCGUGAUUUCAUUUUUUUUCUUCGCAGAAAACGAAAUCCACACUCGUGUAAGCGUGUGAUUCAAUACCAUAUUGAUUGCUUUACUAUAUAUAUAUAAUCGUCCUUUUACCAAAUCAUGCACUAUAAUUAAUAAUAAGAUAAAAGUUUUAAAUAUAUAUACAUACAUAAUCUUCACAAUUGAUCCGAGUGUUUCAUGAUUUUAUCCCACCUUUAUUAAACAAAUUUCUUUCGUCUUUGUAUUGGAAGCUUUCGAACUGCCGCUUUCUCCCUUACCAAUUUACUGUGCCUUUUCUCUCUUUCCUCGAUUGCACGUAUCGCGUGACAGAUUGGGUCUUUAGUUAUUUGUUUACCUAUUAAUAUAUCUUGUUAAUUCUCGUAAUCAUAAUAUGAUUUAAUUUUAUCCACAUAUAAAUUAAAUCCAAUUAGUUUUAAGGAUCAAAUUUUACCAAAUUAAUUUAUCCUUCACAUAUUAAUACUUAUUAGCUCAUAUAAAAUAAAUAACUAGUUUGACCCAAUAAAAGACAAAGUUCAAUUAAAUUAUUUAAAAUAUAAAUAUAAAUAUUAUUUUUUUUAUUUCUUUAUUAUUAUUUUUUUUUGGGUAUUACACCGCGAAUUUGUAUUUACACCGCGAAUUUCUGGGUUCCCUCUUUACCGGCGAUCCGAAUUUACUUUUGUGUUUAAUAUUUGAAAGUCUUUCGAAGUUUUUAGAGAUGAGGUCAGACUUUGGAUAUUGGUUGAUAGUUAUAAUUUUUCUUCUGAAGUCGGUCAAACUCUACCAUUUGAUAGAAAUUUAAAAAAUCUAUGACUUUUUGAAUACCAAAAUACUUUUAUAGACUUUGUAAAAAUUUUAAUUCAAUACCACCUAACUUUUAAAGACAUUAAAAAAGUUGUAAUUGAAUACCAAUAAACUUUUAUAAACUCUUUAAAUGUCUUGAUUGAAUACAACCAAAAUUUUAAAAUCUUUAAAAGUCUUUAAAAAUCUUAAUUGAAUACACCCCCUAAAAGACUUGGCUACGAAUUACUUAAUAAAUAAUCUUACGAAAUAUCUUUUAUAGAUUUCUUGACAAUAAUAUAUGUUCCUAAUAUUCAUAAUAUAUAUUACUUGAUAUCCCUUGGUUAUUAUAAUGUAAAAUAUUUAUCACUUGAUCCUGUUUAAUGCACACCGUUAAUGCACUUUAGUUUGAAGUAUCCACCCAUAUUAUUAGAUGGUUUUGGGUAGAUAAUUAUCAAAUAAAAAUAAUAAAUGGUCCAACCCAUAUCCACACACAUAGUAAGUGGGUUGAUGUGGGCUGCCCAUUUGGCCCUGAUUAUACACUUAUUUUCAAAAGUAAGCUAUUUUAGUAAUUAUUUCUCAGUUAGACUCUCUUUCUAAAAAAAGUCAGUUUCUCACUUUAAAAUAUUUCACUUUCUUACUAUAAAAUGUUCACUUUCUCUUGAUCUCUCACUAAUAUAUUUUUUUUGAAUCAAGUGGGUGGAUGGGUUAUGAUUUUUUGAAUUAAGUGGGUGGAUGGAUGGGUUAUGACUAAACUCUUUUUGCUAUGAUUUCUUCCUCUCUCAUUUGCUUUGUGUAUUCUGCUUUGUGUACUGUUUCUUUCUUCCUCUGGGUUUAGUAUCACUGCUUUUGUGCCUAUAUAGUUGCCAAGUUCAUGAUGGGUUUAUAUAUAGUAAAAUAUCAAUAUUAUGAAAUAUGUGCAUAUAUUUAUGGGCUUUGAUUUGUGUAUUCUUUCUCCUGUUUAAUUUUCUUAACUCAAGUACAUGGUCUUGCAUGCUUGCUGUUAAUUCGUCUUUUAAUGCCCAUAUCCAUCCUUUUAUGACCGCCCAUUUACAACCCAUAUAAGGCUUGCACAUAUAAAACCGAACCCAUUUGCAUCCGCCCAAAUCCGUCCAAAUCUGCCCAAUUUCUAGGUCUAUCCAUGGUUAUAAACCAUGUUCUUUAUUAUAUGUUACUUAUAUUUUAUAUCUUUUAUGUAUACAUAUAUAUCAUAUACAUAUAAUGUAGAGACAAAAUAACAUUACAUUACAAAAUAAUGAAUAAUGCAAUAUUUAUUAAUCAAUAAUAAUGUCAUCAACAAUAUUAAAUAAAUAGGAUUUUAUAGCAAAAUCCAACACAUCAAUGCCCUCAUGGAUGGUUUUAUUGUUGAAGUUUUAUGUUUCUCUGGGUUUAUAUCUUAGAUUCUCUUUAUGUAACAACCCGGGUCAAAACCAAGUCCAGAACAAAUCUUGGGUCAAAUCCCAAGUCCGAAUCGAAUCAAAUCCAUCAAAAUAAGGCCUCAAACUACUGGCCCAAUAGUAUCUUCUUGGGUCAACUUAGCCCACCACAGGCUCACCCAAAAGGUCAUGACUUGAAGGUACUAUUGGUAGUAACUUAUUUCCUUACAUGCAGACAAAUUUUUCUCCUAUCUUUCGAUGUGGGACUGGGGUGUUACAAACUCCCUCGCUUUAAAUUUCUGACGUCCCCGUCAGAACCGAUCACACACACAGGCCCAAAGAUUUUUGCCUCUCUAGCCAUUGUGGGAUAAUACCGGCUGACUUCGUGUCCCCACCUCCGGACCUCCAUCUCUCCAUUGUGGGAUAAUACCACCAGCUUUCGUGUCCCCACCUCUGACAACUCGAUCGGAUGACCCGACCUGAGCUUUCGAGAGUCGGCUCUGAUACCAUAUGUAAUAACCCGGGUCAAAUCCCGAGUCCAGAACAAAUCUUGGGUCAAAUCCCAAGUCCGAAUCGAAUCGAAUCAAAUCCAUUAAAAUAAGGCCUCAAACUACUGGCCCAAUAGUAUCUUCUUGGGUCAACUUAGCCCACCAUAGGCUCACCCAAAAGGUCAUGACUUGAAUGUACUAUUGGUAGUAACAUAUUUCUUUAUAUGCAGACAAAUUUUUUCCCUAUCUUUCGAUGUGGGACUGGGGUGUUACAACCCGUCUCUCCUGCCAAAGAAAAUCAAUAUCAAGUACUCUUGAAUUUCGACUUUUCCGUCAACUUUAUCAUUUCCAUCAACUUUAUCAUAGACCAACUACUUCGUCAUAAAGCAACAAGGAUAUUUGAUUAAGAUUCUCUUUGAUAUAGCUUGGUAUUGCAUGGAAUUCAGCCCCAAAGUCAGUAACAAUUGAAUUUGAUCUCCCCGAAGUGUUGAUUUUAAACACAAUUGCUUCCUUUACUUGCACUUGAGUUGAAGGACUUGAAAUGCUCUUUGGUUACUAAUUUUGCAAUGUACCCAUAAACAUAUUACCAUUAUGAGUAGAUACCCCCAUUAAGAUUGCUGCUAGGUACAAUUCUAUUAGAUACUCAUGCACAAAAUAAAUUCACAAUUGUCCGUAGCAUUUGUCAAAGCUUGAUGGUGAAACAUACUCUUUCAAAUACUCAGAACGGACAAUAUCGCUAAGAUUUCACCGAUAAUUGGAGGACAAGACCAAUUCAUUGUGAGGAAGAGAAUGUUGUAAAAAGCCAUUUAGAUUCAACACAUGUCGACUAUUUUUAGUAUGUUAUGGGUUUUCUUGCAAAAUAAGUUGAGGUAGAAGAGAUUUGGAGAGGAAGAAAUUGAAAUUUUCACUUAGACAUUAUACCGGGCUAUUGGUGUGCAGGAAAAAUAAAUUAAAAUGAGAAUUUUUGGCAGAUUUUUCAAGAUUGAGAUAAGUAUAUGAGAUUUAAGAGGAAGUGUUUGAUGAGAAUGAAACGAGAAUAAAGCUAUGAGAGGGUGAAAAGAACCUUACCAGAAUUAGAGGUUAGAGAAGAUAAUUACGAAAGAAGAGAUCGGAGAAGAAGCAGAGCCUUGGGAAGAAGCAGAGUUAGGAUUUCUGUUCAUUUAAUCUAUCAAUUUAAUUUGUUUUUACUUAUAGUUAAUGAUAUACUACUGACUACACUACAGUGACAUACAUCUCAGAACUUAUUAUGUUCAUGUAAUCUAUCAAUUUAAUUUGUAUAUAGUCAUAAUUUUUUUUAAUUAUUAUAAUUUAUUGACUUAAUGUUCAAAAAAUCCAUUGAACUCUUAUCAAACUAUAAAAAAUCAUACAAAUUAUUUUUUUUGGACCAGAAUCAUUGAACUUUCAAAAACUGUCAAAAAUGCCCAAAAUUUGACUAGUUCAUGUGUACACGCCAGCUCAUAUGAUCAAAUUUUGUGCAUUUUUUAUAAUUGUUUGAUAGUUCAAUAGUUCUGGUUCGAAAAAAAAAGUUGCAUAUUUUUUUAAUAGCUUGACAAAAGUUCAAUGGAUUUUUCAGUGUCUAAUUUAUUUAACUUAGUAUUUAUACUUUGUGUCUUUUGUUGAAAUUGAUUAAUAAUUUUAAUUAGAUUUUUUUCUCUUUUUAUGAACAG